AUUCGUUCUCAGGGCGGGGUGCAACUCCCCACCGGCGGUAAGGGGAUCCCCAAGCCCGCGAGCGCCUGUUUCUUUCACGGCAGCGUCGGAAGGGCAGGGUCAGCAGAUCCGGUGUGAUUCCGGAGCCGACGGUAUAGUCCGGAUGAAAGAGAAUGAGG
rnacentral:ncRNA from 1 species